GCCACCUUAGCUCAGCUGGUAGAGCGGCCCCUUCGUAAGGGGUAGGUCCCCGGUUCGAAUCCGGGAGGUGGCU
rnacentral:tRNA from 2 species